rnacentral:lncRNA from 1 species
AUGCAGCUUGAGGUCCUGACUCGCACAACACACCCGUCAUUUUGGGAUGGUUCUCACCUGGGGAAGAGCUUUUCCUCCCUCCCCUACACACAGGUGCUGCUGAGCUCCCUGGGCACGGUUUGCAGAGGAUUAUGGUACGAGAGGUUUAGGAUAAAUGAGGGGGUUUGUUACUGUUGCUCUCUCUGUGGGCAGCCUGGUGCUGCUGAGUUGUGGUCAAGGGCUCUAGUGCAGUGCACGCUGGUGCUGCUGCCUUCCCCAGCUCUGCUGGAAGCCAUCUCGCUGGCCUGUCAGGCCAGAUGUUUAGCAACCAGAUUUUCCAGGGUCAAGAAGCGUGGGGGAAGAGACGAGUGCUCUGCUGCCUGGCUGAGGUCGCCUUUGGAGCCAUUUCCAUGGGCUCCUACCAAUCCAUUGAAGGCAAAGCACUCCUUUACCCAGUCCUGAGCACAUGUUGGACCCUGGCCCUAUAACCACAUUUUGGAGCAGGUUCAACUUCGUUGUGUUCCUCAUCUGCACUGCAAGAGAGAGGUUUGGGAGCAGCUUUCCUUGGCACCAGCUGGAAACCAAGCUGAUUUUCAGCCCUGCCAUCAACUGCUAAGGUAACCUUUUCCUGCCUGCCUUUUGUUGUAGAAGCUGGGGCUUGAGGCAGGUGAACGUAUCAAGGUGUUUUCUUGCUCUUGUCUACAGCAGUGUGUUUCUUGUGCUAGCUAGUGUAACUGUGUUAGACACCUUGGUGAAACCCGAGCACUACCCAACUCAGUCAUCACAUAGCAGAUAAAAUAUCAACAGUAACCUGUAGCACAUGCAAGGGUGGAGCUCAGAAAAAGUGCCCAAGUGACUGGGAAUGUGUCAUAGGGUGAAGGCACCUCCAGCUCUGGGAGCAAGAAGGUCCCAUUUCAACAAAACGGCAAUAAAUUGGCCAGAAUAACUAUCUGGUAACGGUGC